AUUGAACGCUGGCGGCAGGCCUAACACAUGCAAGUCGAGCGGAUGAAGGGAGCUUGCUCCUGGAUUCAGCGGCGGACGGGUGAGUAAUGCCUAGGAAUCUGCCUGGUCGUGGGGGAUAACGUCCGGAAACGGGCGCUAAUACCGCAUACGUCCUGAGGGAGAAAGUGGGGGAUCUUCGGACCUCACGCUAUCAGAUGAGCCUAGGUCGGAUUAGCUAGUUGGUGGGGUAAAGGCCUACCAAGGCGACGAUCCGUAACUGGUCUGAGAGGAUGAUCAGUCACACUGGAACUGAGACACGGUCCAGACUCCUACGGGAGGCAGCAGUGGGGAAUAUUGGACAAUGGGCGAAAGCCUGAUCCAGACAUGCCGCGUGUGUGAAGAAGGUCUUCGGAUUGUAAAGCACUUUAAGUUGGGAGGAAGGGCAGUAAGUUAAUACCUUGCUGUUUUGACGUUACCAACAGAAUAAGCACCGGCUAACUUCGUG
rnacentral:rRNA from 1 species